UGCUCAUGAUGAAGGUUUAUGUGAGUAACACCUGCUUGGCAGGGCGGUGGCUUCGGCUUUGGCUUGUUCUCUCUUCUCUAACGUAAGGGUGAUUGAAUCCAUGCAGGGAAAGUGCUUGCAACAUUAUAGUAAAUGCUUAGUAAUGUGAUCAUUAUUUAUCAUCAUUUCUCUUAAUAGUUGCUAUUUUAUUGUUGUCACCACCACCACCACCACCACCACCACCAUCAUCAUCAUCAUCAUCACCAUCUUCAGGCUGUGGAGACAUGGUGUUAAUUGGCCAUACAGUUCUAGUUCUCUGAGUUAUGAAUGGAUAGGAGAUGAUAGCAGGUGCAAAAGCCCAGCUGUAACCUGUGUAGGCUCAUUCUUCUCCAAGUGUGGCUACUAGAAGACGUAAAAUUGUAAAUGUGGUUCACAUCGUGUUUCUACUGAGCAUUGAGCAGUGCCUCAGAGCACAAGAAAGGAUCUGCUUAGCACAAGUGAGCAACUCAUGAGGAGAGGGUGGCUGCCAUUGUGAACACACACCAGAGCACACAGAUGAGCUCAGCGGGCUGGGGAUUUUUUCUUCUCUAGCGGUUGAAAGGAGAAAUACGAUGACAUCGUGGCAUCCGUGCUUUGCUUCAUUAUUGAAUUCAUUUGUGAACACACACCGGGCCCAUGGAAUUAAUACGUGCUGCACAGACUAUGGAGAAUGGCAACUAUAGUAACUGCUAAGGACAGGGAUCUAUGAAAUUCGAAAGCUUAAAAAUUGAAGCUUCUAAUCAGUUAGGAAGGUCAUAGAAAUCUGUUCUGAGGAAAUUAGCAAUCCAAGACCUGAAAGAUAAGUAAGAGUUAGCUAGGUAACUAGGAGAAGGUGAAGUAUUCUAGAUAGAGAUAACAGUACAUGCAGAGGGCCUGUGGCAGCAAGGUCAGGAAGAAAAUGUUGGGUGGCUAGAACAGAGUUACCAAUAAGAGAGAGAGAGUUAGUGAACCACGAUAAGGCCUUGGUUUUAUCCUAAAAGCACUGAAAUUUCAGGUUCAAAUUCAGGUGAGGGAAAAGGCUAUUUCAAAGGCAGUGUGGGUAAGCGAUGGUUUGUGUAAGACAGGAGCUGAGGGGUGACUGGGUGUGUGGCCGAUAUCAGGAGGCUCCUUCAUCCGAAGGGGGGUGGACCCAAAGAGGAGAGGAAGUCAGGGAGGGUGACUAAUCCCCACACAUCCUUCUGGUCUUGGCUUCUAAGUCAUUUCCUUGGGGAGCCCUUCUCUGACCCCAGCUUAGGCUGGACCCCCCACCCUCAGAAGUGUCUCCCCACCCUCCACUUCCCUUUUCACUGCUGCCAUGUCUUCCCUCAUGGUCUUUCCCCUUACUGCCGUGGCCUUAUCCAGGAGGGCAGGGCUUGAGGCCCAGGUCACUGCUAGCUGCUCCUCUCCUAGCCUGGGACCCGGCACUUGGUUGCAGUCAAAACCUAGAACUGAAAGAACGUUGGACAAGUGGGGCAUCCAUGAGAGAUGGGAUUUGUGAGCGCCUCGUUUCCUCUGGAUGCUCCCUCCCCCUGGCCCUCCCUCUCCCCCUCCUUUUGUCACUUCUGUAUUUUAUCCUAAAGCUGAGCUCCUCUGAGCUCCCUACUCACGGGCUUCCAUCUGAAAGCAUGGACAGGCAUAUAAGACAAUCUCUGAACUCUGGAUAUGAAGUAUCAGUUACCUGCCAAGGGCUGCAAUACGCAAUCACCACAGAAGAUCAAAUACCUUGAACC